rnacentral:rRNA from 1 species
UGGGGAAUAUUGGACAAUGGGGGAAACCCUGAUCCAGCAAUGCCGCGUGAGUGAUGAGGCCUUCGGGUUGUAAAGCUCUUUUGUCAGGGAAGAUGAUGACGGUACCUGACGAAUAAGCUCCGGCUAACUUCGUGCCAGCAGCCGCGGUAAUACGAAGGGAGCUAGCGUUGUUCGGAAUUACUGGGCGUAAAGGGCGCGUAGGCGGCCUUGUAAGUUAGAUGUGAAAGCCCCGGGCUUAACCUGGGAACUGCAUUUAAGACUGCAAAGCUUGAGGACGAGAGAGGAAAGUGGAAUUGUGAGUGUAGAGGUGAAAUUCGUAGAUAUUCACAAGAACACCAGUGGCGAAGGCGACUUUCUGGCUCGUAUCUGACGCUAAGGCGCGAAAGCGUGGGGAGCAAAACAGGAUUAGAUACCCUGGUAGUCCACGCUGUAAACGAUGAGUGCUAGAUGUUGGUCUUCGGAUCAGUAUCGCAGCUAACGCAUUAAGCACUCCGCCUGGGGGAGUACGGCCGCAAGAUUAAAAACUCAAAAUGAAUUGACGGGGUCAUAGCUGUUUCCU